GGGGCAGCAUUCCACAAUGUAGCCUGCCGUGCGGCAUGCGCACACACGCACAGACACGUGCCAACGACCGAGCCAGGCCUCUCCCUUCUCCACCUCCCUUCGCAUGAGCAUCUCACUUACGCCGAUACGCCCCCGGGCUCACCACCCCUUCGCCCCAUAGACGCGCGCACGCAACCCUACUCGCACACGACAGAGGACAGCGCGGGCAGCAGGUGUGACGGCUCGCUGCCGCUCUGCUCUGCCUUUCUGUUUCUGGUCCUCCUUUUCCGGCCGGCAGUCAGCAUGCGGGCAGCGCCGCCGCCACCACCCCAGCGCCCCCCCCCACUUCCACAUCAUUGCCCUGGCCUGUAGUGUCAUCUCUGGCGCUUGCGAAUCUCUGCUGCCAUCCUUCCUGUUUCUUCAGCGGCCCGCCUACUCCUCGAGAUGCACAAAGGUGUGUGCACGUACGCUGAGUUCUCGAGUCACCUCUCCGCCAUCGUGGGCCGUCACCCACAUGUGACUGACCUGCGGCUGCAGCUUCUACCACCCGCGAGAGGUCCUCGUCCGCCACGAGAGCGCCGCGAUGUGCAGAGCAGUGGAACAGCUGUGGAGUCGCGGCCAUCCGUGGAAGACAGCGGGUUGGAUUUCACAACCCUCUACGCUGUUCUUCUUUCGCGGCGAGGCGACGACGGCGGCAACAGCGAAACCGUAGCCGUCUACACGGUGGUUGGGCACGUAUCCCACAUCUCGCUCAACUGGUGCGCGCAGCUUCAGCGCUCGUUGAGCGUCACCGCCCUUCUCGCAGCCCCGACGCGCAGCCUCGUAUGGCACGCCGACGGCUUUCAUGAGAGCGAGGUCGGCACCAUCCUGGGUCGAGAAUGCAUGACGGGAGUCUCGUCGUUCGAGGUGCGGCUCUCCCCGUACGUGCCGCCACUGCAGUGGUGCCGCGCAGUGGACGGCGUCUUCGGCUCGCAUCACUUCGUUUGUGGCUCCUAUACCUGUGGCAUCGAUGAACCGCGCGACGACAACGACGACAGUGCCGGUGCAGCACACACACGCGAGGCGUGGAAAGAGAGGGAUACCCUCCGCACGCCACCCAAGGCGGUGGUCGAUGCUGCCGCCACCGACGUGGCGCCGCACACGCCCAGUGCCGGUCCGCCGGUGCGGAUGCCGCGUCGAGAAGGCGCGCUCGCAGCCGUGUGGGCCGGCACUCCAGCAGCAGAGGAGACGCCAUGCUGCUCUUUCGCUCUCAGCAGCGGGCACCUUCCCCUUCGUGUGGCGGGCGUGCUGAACGGCAACAUGCCUUUAGACAACGCCACCAGCUCGAUACCGGGCACGCGCGUGCUGUGCUUGGUUGCGCUUGAUGGCUCGCUUCUCACGGGACGCACGUGUCCGGAUUCGCCGUCGCCUUCAUGGUCACGGGACCUUUUUGAUACUCUCUGUGACUUCAUCUCCCGCGACGUCAUGCCACGUGUCUCGCUCCGACUCAUCGACGGCACAUGGGCCCGCGCAGAGGCGUCAGAGCACCUGCUCGAUGAUGUCUGCCAGGUGCGGCAAAUGCUAGGAACGAGCUACGUCGUGCAGUACCCCUCGGACGCCGCAGCCGCUGCGGCGACACGUGCGCGCAGCAUCGUCAUGGUGCUGGACCUUUCUGUCCCUCUCCAAAAACUCCUCUCCACCCUUCCUUCGAUGCGCACAUCCUCGCCAUCGCCAGCAACGGAUGCCAAGUCGGAGCGGCGGCGGCGUUGCCUGGCGACCCAAUUUGCGGAGGCAGUGCAGGAUACUAUCGGUCAGCUUGUCUCGCAGCACCCCGACGUGUUUGCCUUCACGCGCGAGGCCGCACGGGCGACGGAGAGCGCGCUGGUGGCGCAGCUGUCGCGCGGGCCCACGCACUUCACCCGCGAAAUGCUUUGCCGUAGCAUCGCGGCGAGCGUUUCUCAGAUUUUAUCCCUCUCCUCGAACGCCGCCUUUGUUGAGGAGGUGGUGCGGUUGCUGUGGGGAUGUGAGACACACGUCGAGGCCACCGACGUCGCCACUGCCACAGAGCGCAGUCGUGAGAGUCUGCGUAUCUCGCAGCGGCAGCCAGUGCAGAUCCAGCGCCGUAUUGAAGAGCGGUUGAUGAGUGCCAUACCUCCUUGACAGGGCUUGCUGUCGAGUAAAGUACGCCCGCAUGAGCAUAACGCGCGCGUGGACGAUUGCCUGUCCCGAUCCUGCUCGGCAUCCCUCACCUACGCUGGUAGGAGAUGAAGCGAGCGCUGCUUUAUUCGCGUGCCUUCGUACGUUUUGUUUAGCUCUGAUGCGCACUGCGCCGCCUGCCCCUCCCCCACCACCAAACUUUUCUCUGCUCCGUGCGCUUCGCUUGCUGCUCAUGACGUCAUGCUGUUGCCGUCGUGGGUGCCAACACGGACGCAGUGCUGCUGGUCAUGUUGCUCGCUUCUUUCGCUUUUUCGUCUUCCUGCUGCUGCCCUACACCCCCCCCCUCCCCUCCCACCGUCCUCCCCGUUACCCUCGAACCCGAUCCACAUGGGCAGCGUUGCCAUGGAUUUAGCAGCAGCCGUCAAGCGGCAAUGGGCGGCGGGCGGCAGAGAGGAGCCCGUGCCCUCACCGCCACGCCCCGUCAGGCAUGAGCAGCCACCCCCCCCCUCCCUCCCCCUCCCUUUCCCAGCUUCGCAACACGUUGUUUCGGGUGCAGAAUGCUACUGGUCGCCAUGCACGUCCUUCCCUCUCCACUCGGCUCUUACCCAUUGCCACCCCGCAG
rnacentral:misc_RNA from 1 species